rnacentral:pre_miRNA from 1 species
GAGGUACUCCCUCCGUCCGAAAAAGCUUGUCCCUCCAAUGGAUGUAUCUAGCACCAAGUUAGUGCUAGAUACAUCCAUUUGAGAAAGAAGCUUGGGACAAGUUUUUCCGGAUGGAGGGAGUAGUAG